GAGAGGUGACUAAGGAAGAAGGGUUGGAGAGAGGCAGCACUGCUGGCUUUUAAGAUGGAGGAAAAGGCCAUGAACCAAGAAAUGUGGGUGGCCUGAGACACUGAAAAAGAAAAAAAAGCAAACUAUCUCUUAUGGCCUCCAGAAAGGAAUGUAGCCCAGCUGACACCUUGAUUUAAGCCUGGUGAAAUUCAUGGCAGACUUCAAAACUACAUAACUAGGUACUAAAACCACCAGGAACAGCCUCUGGCUUCAUCAGAAACAGGAUGAGAAAAGGCAAGUUAUCAAACCUCUGGAAAUGUCAGCUAUAAAAUGAAGAUGGUAUCAAACUCAAGUUAAGAAGAUCAUUCAGAGAAGAAACAAGUGACAUCAGAAGCAUCAGAGGCUCCCUAUUUGGAUGGAGGCAUACAGUGCAGAGAUUAAAGGCCUUGUCAAGCAGUUGGGAGGAUUGUUACCCUGCCUGUUAAUGGUGUGAUACCUGAGGACAGCUGCCUCUUUCUCCACGCAGGACUGGAUACAAGGAUGUGCAUUCACCUGGACCGGAAGCAAGGGGGUGUGGAAGUUUGGGAAGUCUACCUGGCUUUGGCUAACAUCAGAGGUUAUGGGCCUUGCUUUUAAAAAGAUGUGAGACCUAAAUAAAAAAUAGAAAACAGUAUGCAGUUCCAUAAAAAAUCCAAAGAGGAGAUAAUAUGUGAUCCAGCAAUUCUACUUCUGGUUAUAUAUCCCAAAGACCUGAAAGUAGAAUCUCAAAGACAUAUCUGUACUCCCGUGUUCAUAGGACCAUUAUUCAUAAGUCAAGAGUGGAAGCAACUCAAAUGUCUACCAACAGGAUGAAGCUGAGUGCUGCAUGCCCACCCGGAGCUGAGCUCCACCUACACACUGCUCGGCUCUGCUCUGCUCUGCUCUGCUCGGAGCUGUCUGGGAGCUGGGGAAGCUUGGCAUGGGAAUGGACAGUGAGGAGUUUCCUCUUCUGCUUUUAAACUGUAGCUCCCACUUCACCAGCGCUAAGCUGACAUACCUCAGCCUCGAAGGCUCCCCCUCAGAGGCUCACUGGACCCUGCUAAAUGCAUCUGUACUGUUCUGCGCCUACUCAUCUCUCAUCCUUUCUCCUGCUGAUUUAAGGACUUGCUAUGUCUCUUGCCCACUAGUCU